rnacentral:rRNA from 1 species
UCGAGAAUUUUUCUCAAUGGGCGAAAGCCUGAAGGAGCGACGCCGCGUGGGGGAUGAAUGGCUUCGGCCCGUAAACCCCUGUCAUUUGCGAACAAACCUCGUGAUUUAACAGAUGACGAGCUGAUUGUAGCGAAAGAGGAAGGGACGGCUAACUCUGUGCCAGCAGCCGCGGUAAUACAGAGGUCCCAAGCGUUGUUCGGAUUCACUGGGCGUAAAGGGUGCGUAGGUGGUUGGGUAAGUCUGAUGUGAAAUCUCCGGGCCUAACCCGGAAACUGCAUCGGAUACUAUUCGACUGGAGGGUUGGAGGGGGGACUGGAAUACUUGGUGUAGCAGUGAAAUGCGUAGAUAUCAAGUGGAACACCAGUGGCGAAGGCGAGUCCCUGGACAACUCCUGACACUGAGGCACGAAAGCUAGGGGAGCAAACAGGAUUAGAUACCCCAGUAGUCCCUGAGCGGGCUGGCAAGGCGCAU